UACGUAGGUGGCAAGCGUUGUCCGGAAUUAUUGGGCGUAAAGCGCGCGCAGGCGGUCCUUUAAGUCUGAUGUGAAAGCCCACGGCUCAACCGUGGAGGGUCAUUGGAAACUGGGGGACUUGAGUACAGAAGAGAAGAGUGGAAUUCCACGUGUAGCGGUGAAAUGCGUAGAGAUGUGGAGGAGCACCAGUGGCGAAGGCGACUCUUUGGUCUGUAACUGACGCUGAGGCGCGAAAGCGUGGGGAGCAAACAGG
rnacentral:rRNA from 1 species